GACGAACCGUCCGAACGUUAUUCGGAAUCACUGGGCUUAAAGGGUGCGUAGGCGGCGCGGACGGUUGGGUGUGAAAUCCCUCGGCUCAACCGAGGAGCUGCGCCCAAAACUACCGUGCUCGAGGGAGAUAGAGGUGAGCGGAACUUAGGGUGGAGCGGUGAAAUGCGUUGAUAUCCUAAGGAACACCGGUGGCGAAAGCGGCUCACUGGAUCUCUUCUGACGCUGAGGCACGAAAGCUAGGGUAGCGAACGGG
rnacentral:rRNA from 1 species